ACGCACGCUGGCGGCGUGCUUAACACAUGCAAGUCGCACGGAAAGGCCCUGCUUGCCGGGUACUCGAGUGGCGAACGGGUGAGUAACACGUGGGUGAUCUGCCCUGCACUUCGGGAUAAGCCUGGGAAACUGGGUCUAAUACCGGAUAGGAGCCAUUUUUAGUGUGAUGGUUGGAAAGUUUUUUCGGUGUAGGAUGAGCUCGCGGCCUAUCAGCUUGUUGGUGGGGUAAUGGCCUACCAAGGCGGCGACGGGUAGCCGGCCUGAGAGGGUGGACGGCCACAUUGGGACUGAGAUACGGCCCAGACUCCUACGGGAGGCAGCAGUGGGGAAUAUUGCACAAUGGGCGCAAGCCUGAUGCAGCGACGCCGCGUGGGGGAUGACGGCCUUCGGGUUGUAAACUCCUUUCGCUAGGGACGAAGCUUUUUGUGACGGUACCUAGAUAAGAAGCACCGGCUAACUACGUG
rnacentral:rRNA from 1 species